UGUGUGUGUGUGUGUGUGUUGUGUGUGUCUCUCAUCAUGUUUGAUGGAUUAGUUUAGAGGAACACGCCAACACGGCACACUAACCUAAGCGUAGUAGUAUUAUUUUUGUUUUUUGUUUUUUGUUAGACUAAGAGUACACAGGUGGAGCGGAGGGGAGGGAGUAGUCUAGGGUGUCGGUUGUUCUUUUUUUUCUUUGAUUCGACUCGAGCGGCGUGGCGUCAUGUCCGUCAGAGCAGAGAAGAGAGGCGAGGAGGGGAGGGAGCCGCCGCCGCCGCCGCCGCUACCCCUGCUUCCUCGGGCCGAGGGGCUCGGGGCUGCUGCGCCACGAGAAGAAGCCCCACCGGGAGCACGACCCGUAGCGGAGGGCGGUGGAGGAGGCGCCGUGGGCGCAGGGGAUGUGGCAGCGGGAGGAGCAGGAGCCGCAGCGGGAGCCGCCGGAGCUCAUGCCCUGGUUCGUACCGGAGCCGUUCGAGCCUCGGCCGUAGGCAUAGACCCGACGGUAUUUAGGACUAGAGGAAGAACGGCAGAAGGAGGGGCGGGAGGAGAAGCUCUCGAGGAAGAGGUACCUUCACGUGGUCUAGUUCUUUACGUACCGCGUCUACCACAAUGAACGGCAGGGUCCGCACCACUAGAGUUGUCAAAACGAACCGCGACGACAUUUCGAGUGAAAAGGUAUACUGACCUUGACCUUUUGUAGUAAGAACAAGUCACCUGACGAAUCACGUUGGCUGGGACAACGGCACCAACGAGAAGAUUUUCUGGAUCCUCGUUCGUUUUUCGAGUCAUGUUAUUAACUUCCUCUCAGGAACUACUUACUGCCCUGACGAUAACAACAGAUAGUCGAUAAGAUAGCUUACCACGAACCUUUUUGAAAGCUACGUCCCAGGUAGUAUUUCAAGAACAGUGUUCAAAGUGAACCUCGACAACGAGACCCGGAACGCAAACCUUAACGUAGUCAUGAUACCGACCCGAAAUAAAAGUUACUAUGUUAGUAUCUCUAAAGUGAAUGGCAACGACAGUCGAUAUAACGAAAGAAGUGACGCGUUCUACGUAACCUCCAGAGACCACAAAAUCGGCAGUACUGGAACCCCUACAAGAUACGACGAAAACGUUUUUGACGAAAAUUCCCACUGUCGGUCGUUUCAAAUGUAGUAAAGACCCUUUACCAACGAAUGUAACGUUUGUGUGAAUAAAAGUAUGACUCACCCCAACAAUAACGUCUACCGCAUGAUGUUCUAUUAUAAGUAAAACUCUCCGUACCGUGUAGUACCCCCAAGGAAGAAGACGAGAUACAAAAACACGUUUAUAGCGCACGACAUCAACAGCCACAAAACAUAGGUGACAACGCAGUGAAACCCAUACCAUACCUGUAGUUUCUUCGGUGUCAAGAACAAACCAGUCCUAACGCACCUCGACAACGAGAUAGUGAAAGAGACAGGCAAUUUGCACGAUCACUAAGUCAAGUUUGAAUAGACUUUGGUCUUCAACCUUGUUACAAACACAAGAAGUGUCCACCGUAGCACAAAGACUGAAACUAAAACUUACCAAGGUGGUGUGUUAAAAACAACGUGGAUGAACCAGACCCUUUUAACAGUCGUUGCUUCGAAGCACAUAACUUCAUAUGUGUUAUACUUUACGAUUUGUUCCGUAACCUCCGAAAACCACUAGAGUCCCUACUACUCCUUGAACCCGGACAACUAACCCAAUUACACUUCUUUAUAUAGUGUACAAACUUAUUGAACCUUCUACUUGUUCGUGUAGGGGUGCUACAAGGACUGUUCCUACUAGUGCAUGUAUGGUACUUAAACUUCCUAUGAGCUCACGCCGAAAACUUACCACACGUUCGACGAAUGACCCCUUACGAACUUCUCCCUGCUUAUUGAGUUAGAUGUCGUUUAUAAAAUUACUCUAGUCAACUACUUCGAUACCUAGAACAGAGAUCGGUCAGUAAUACACUAACCUUCCCAAACGCCAGGUUACAAGUAAAGGGUUUAAUGAUAUCCAAGGAAGUCUACUCGUCCAACGGUGCUUCCGAACAGUGUAUGAAGUGUCAUCUUUCUAACCUCAAUCCUACAAUGUAGACGCGCCGUAAAGAGGCACGAGUGUCUUAACGCUCCUCUGUUGAUGUACUAAAGGAACCACUAUCACUCUAACGUUCUUAACAGUAGCUACUUUCAUAACGACGACCCCUCCUUCGAUUUUUCAAAGACCUUCUACAAGCACAAUGUAAGGGAGUCCACGAAGCACAUAACUUCUGAGCUGUUCAUUGUAUACGCCAUAACUGUGUGAACUCACUCAUAUAAGUUCUGGAACCCUUCUGACCCAACGAGCUCCUUUUCCUUUAUCAGGUAGAGCUACUACGAAACGUCUGUCUGAACUUCUUCGAAUUCUCCUUAGGCGGUGACCACUUUUACGGUUCUCAAGCGCUUGAAGAUUUAUGGGUAGGAAAUCAACCACGUGACGGACGACGAGAAGCACUAGGUAACAAUUCAUUGUGUUUCCUUUGUUAUUUUCCCGUACCUUGUCAAGAAAUGUGUCUUCCGAGUUCUGGCUGACCGCAUACCGAACAAAGCUCACCUUAUCAUUUCACCUGUUCAGUCUCUGAUACGUGCUCCGUAAGUAACCUAGGUUAAAACAGUGUACCUUCGUGAAACCCAGAUAUACUCCGUGAUUAACCUUUCGGAAUAUAAACACUGUAAUAAUGUCUUAGCCACCACGUAACAAAGAAGUAACUCCGACUUUUUUAUCUCGUUAACGCGGUCAGACUAGGAAGAUAACUCCUAAAAUACACCGUCCUCUCACGAGAUCAAUAACGUUCCUAAAACGAGGGAGUCUAUAAACUCUUUUACCGUUACGCACUCUACUCCCAAGAGUAAAGUCUUUCUAGAUGAUGCUUACAGAUGUAAUUCCCCCUUCUUUAACUUGAGUCCGUAUUAAUGUAUCCGUAGAAUAACCUCCCUAAAGACUUCUGUCUCUUGGCUUGAAACUAGUGUGGAGGUCGACACGACGACGGCAGUUUGUGACUAAACUUGAAUAAACCGGACGUCAGAAGUCGGUACUUAGUCUAUCUGAUGACAAUAUGACGAGGGUCAAUAGUCCACCUCCGAUCUCGUUCCCAGUAGAAUAAACUUUACUCCUCCGGUCUAUAUCUUAGGCUAGACGUUUCUUCACGUAGCAACGAAAGAGGUCGUGAGCCUGGCAGUGCUUGUGUCUCGUUUCUCGUACAGCCAAACGAGUCCACCGGCCUCUCAAAGGCCUUUAGGUCUCCCGGACCUUUACGUUCGAAUCGACUUUAGUCUUCGGUCAGACCAUCGAAGAGACGAUCUCGGAACGUUCAGUCGUACAUACCGUCGUACUACCUACCGUACGCGGGACGAGCCGCCGUUGGCUCCGAACUAGUACACCUUCGCUUGGUCUUCGUGUCGCGCAGCAUAGGUUUCCACGGAAGUUCCCGUCGGCUGUGCGCCGGAGACGACAGCCACUCCAGCCUCCCGAGGUUACGCUACUCGUCUUUUAGACGAGGACGAGGUCGAUAUCGAGGAGGUGAGCGAAGGAAAGACGGUGGGGAUCGUCGUCCUGCCGUUGCGGCUCGCCAUCCUCUUCUACUGCUGAGCUCGCUACUCAGGCACCCCCUUCUUCAAUAGCAGUCUCACCUGAGAGGGUCGUACGAGAGCAAGUUAGGUGGGAGGCCGGGUGGCGCUCCGUCGACUGCCAACGUCAUACAUGGCUAUAAAAGAAGAACAACAUAUUAUUUAAAAAACUGGUUACCAUGGUACCACAUACAUAUAGACAUAUACACAUUUUACGUGCUAUACAACAUGACAUAUUAUUUACCGUCUUUUUCCGACACCGUUGAAGUUGAACAUUACACCACAUUGACCUUCGGACCCUAUUGGGACAUCUACUAAGAUGAAGGGAAAAAAAACGAGACUCUAACUUACGUCGCUAGUGAAUUAAAAAUUCACACAAGACGCCGGGUUGUCAACACCAGAUACUUUGAUGAGUCCAGUAAACUUUUAUAGAAGACAAGACGACAGAAUACCUCGAAUACCACCUGAAAAGUAUUGUUUAAGAUAAAAAGUCCCUUCUACUAUUUGAGACAAAAGUCUUCCUGCGACCUCGUUACGUUUCCUCCACACCACGCGCGAGAUCUCGGCGUGAGACGUGGCUACCUUCUAGCAGACGUUUUGGAGAGUUAGUCGGUAGGACCUGUCUUUAGAUCUAGAGGAGCCGUUCGAGUACCAGCUUAAUGGAACCUAGCGAACCACUUGGACUCAAAAGACUAGUUCGAGCAGCGGGGUCAAGGACACCUUCUUGUGAUCGACCAAGUUACAAAUCAAAGGAUCAUCUACCAACACAAAGGGAGAGGACACUUGACAUUACUUGAAAAUAGAUGACUACUCCUUCUAGAGUCGAAAGGCGGCACGUGCAACAUGACGAUGCUACAACGAAGCGACACGAAUUACCUCGUCCCUCCGUUGGGGAAAACUACAUUUUGUGUUCGGACACUACCAAAUCCGGUGUAGACGAACACACCCAAAAGUACCCCUCGUUCUCGAUAGACGGAGAACCCGAACCCAUCGUACGUAAAGUUGGUACUACUACUUUUGGUUCCACUUAAUCUGUCGUUUUAGUACCGUAAAGUCUAGGUUCUAACGGCGCAUACAACUUUCGUUACAUUGG
rnacentral:rRNA from 1 species